rnacentral:lncRNA from 1 species
UAUGAUAGAUUUUUGUGGACCAUAGAUUAGGAAGAUGUUUCUUUGCUUGAUUCUUGUUUGCAUCUUUAGGUAACAUCGCAAUGAAAAAUGAAACGUAAUACAACUACGGGGAACCACCACCCAAUAUCGCAAUCAAAAUAGUACAACAUAUGACCAUAAAAAAUUCAACAAAAGCAAACAUUUAAUGGCUUGGCGACUCGAGAUUCCAACGGAAGAAGGUCCCACGACUCCAACGACCACAUGAUGGAGACUUGGAGCAUGUCUCUUUCAACGUCAACUAUGAUUAAACCUUAAAUCCCCAAAUUGAUACACUAAUUUGUUAAAUUGAUUCCAAGUUUGCACGAACCCUACAAUGUCAAAACCAAGUUCUUUCAAUCUCAAUCCCUAAUUCGAUCAAAUUGAAUCCCCAAUUAAUUAUCAAUAUUUCAUUCUUUCUUUCAAUUUCUUUUAAAAAAGAAUUAAUAUCUACAUCAGAAUAGCAUAGACCUAUUAAUGUCAGCCACAUCAAUGUAAAACAUACUCCUCCAUGCAACGUCAAGCAUACACUAACGUUGUUGGGCUUAAUUUAAUGGUAGGGCGUAAUUAUUACAAUUUUUACAAAAUAAAGAUCCGAGAUACCAAAAAAGAAGAGGACCAAUUUAAGAUUCCCAUCCAUGGAAUCUGGCGGAUGAUUAAACUAGAAAAAAAAAUAACAUAGAUGAGUUGUAUUUAGUCUAUUAACAUGUAUAUUCUGAUUACCAAUCCUCAUGCCAUCAAGUUAUUUAUCCAAAACCGCUGCAUUCCUUACUCCUAAAAACCUGACAAAGCCAAACUUGUUCCCUCUUCAAUUGAGCUUUCUAGAUAUGAAUACCUCGUGAACUCUUCCCCAUCGUUGGAAUGUUUUCCACAUAUCAUAUUCUCCAUAAUUCACUGGAAAGUGGAAGAAGAAACAUGUAGUUGCAAUGGUUUUCCCUCCUAGUUUGCUCUAGUGGUGGCUUUUAGGUGCCAUAGCCCAUAGAAGAGCG